rnacentral:rRNA from 1 species
GAUGAACGCUGGCGGCGUGCCUAAUACAUGCAAGUCGAGCGAACGGACGAGAAGCUUGCUUCUCUGAUGUUAGCGGCGGACGGGUGAGUAACACGUGGAUAACCUACCUAUAAGACUGGGAUAACUUCGGGAAACCGGAGCUAAUACCGGAUAAUAUUUUGAACCGCAUGGUUCAAAAGUGAAAGACGGUCUUGCUGUCACUUAUAGAUGGAUCCGCGCUGCAUUAGCUAGUUGGUAAGGUAACGGCUUACCAAGGCAACGAUGCAUAGCCGACCUGAGAGGGUGAUCGGCCACACUGGAACUGAGACACGGUCCAGACUCCUAAGGGAGGCAGCAGUAGGGAAUCUUCCGCAAUGGGCGAAAGCCUGACGGAGCAACGCCGCGUGAGUGAUGAAGGUCUUCGGAUCGUAAAACUCUGUUAUUAGGGAAGAACAUAUGUGUAAGUAACUGCGCACAUCUUGACGGUACCUAAUCAGAAAGCCACGGCUAACUACGUG